rnacentral:rRNA from 1 species
AUUGAACGCUGGCGGCAGGCUUAACACAUGCAAGUCGAGCGGGGUGAUGGUGCUUGCACUAUCACUUAGCGGCGGACGGGUGAGUAAUGCCUAGGAAUCUGCCUAUUAGUGGGGGACAACAUCUCGAAAGGGAUGCUAAUACCGCAUACGUCCUACGGGAGAAAGCAGGGGAUCACUUGUGACCUUGCGCUAAUAGAUGAGCCUAAGUCGGAUUAGCUAGUUGGUGGGGUAAAGGCCUACCAAGGCGACGAUCUGUAGCGGGUCUGAGAGGAGGAUCCGCCACACUGGGACUGAGACACGGCCCAGACUCCUACGGGAGGCAGCAGUGGGGAAUAUUGGACAAUGGGGGGAACCCUGAUCCAGCCAUGCCGCGCGUGUGAAGAAGGCCUUAUGGUUGUAAAGCACUUUAAGCGAGGAGGAGGCUCUUUUGGUUAAUACCCAAGAUGAGUGGACGUUACUCGCAGAAUAAGCACCGGCUAACUCUGUGCCAGCCGCCGCCGUAA